UGGGUCUUGGAGUGAUCCUACUUGGGAGA
rnacentral:piRNA from 1 species